UAAGGAAUCUUCGGCAAUGGACGAAAGUCUGACCGAGCAACGCCGCGUGAGUGAAGAAGGUUUUCGGAUCGUAAAACUCUGUUGGUAGAGAAGAACGUUGGUGAGAGUGGAAAGCUCAUCAAGUGACGGUAACUACCCAGAAAGGGACGGCUAACUACGUGCCCG
rnacentral:rRNA from 1 species